UACGUAGGUGGCAAGCGUUAUCCGGAUUUAUUGGGUGUAAAGGGCGUGUAGGCGGGAAUGCAAGUCAGAUGUGAAAACUAUGGGCUCAACCCAUAGCCUGCAUUUGAAACUGUCGUUCUUGAGUACUGGAGAGGUUGACGGAAUUCCUAGUGUAGCGGUGAAAUGCGUAGAUAUUAGGAGGAACACCAGUGGCGAAGGCGGCCUGCUGGGCUGUUACUGACGCUGAGGCUCGAAAGUGUGGGGAGCAAACAGG
rnacentral:rRNA from 1 species